CCACCGCGGUUAUACGAGAGGCUCAAGUUGACAGACAACGGCGUAAAGAGUGGUUAAGGAAAACAUUCAACUAAAGCGGAACCCCCUCAUUGCUGUUAUACGCUUCCGAGGGAAUGAACCCCAACUACGAAGGUGGCUUUAUAUUACCUGAACCCACGAAAGCUAAGAAACAAACUGGGAUUAGAUACCCCACUAUGCUUAGCCUUAAACAUUGAUUAUUUAUUACAUCAAACAUCCGCCCGGGAAUUACGAACAUUAGUUUAAAACCCAAAGGACUUGGCGGUGCUUAACAUCCACCUAGAGGAGCCUGUUCUAGAACCGAUAACCCCCGUUCAACCUCACCCUCCCUAGCUUUUUCCGCCUAUAUACCGCCGUCGUCAGCUUACCCUGUGAAGGACUAAUAGUAAGCGCAAUUGGUACAACCCAAAACGUCAGGCCGAGGUGUAGUGCAUGAGAGGGGAAGAAAUGGGCUACAUUCGCUGCUCAUCAGCGAAUAACGAAUGAUGCAUUGAAACUAUGCAGCUGAAGGAGGAUUUAGCAGUAAGUGGAAAGUAGAGUGUUCCACUGAAACCGGCUCUUAAGCGCGCACACACCGCCCGUCACCCUCCCCAAGCUCCUGGACCCUAAUCCUACUUAAACCCUAACAAAUGCGAAGGAGAGGAAAGUCGUAACAUGGUAAGUG
rnacentral:rRNA from 1 species